GACGAACGCUGGCGGCGUGCUUAACACAUGCAAGUCGAACGGAAAGGCCCUGCUUUUGUGGGGUGCUCGAGUGGCGAACGGGUGAGUAACACGUGAGUAACCUGCCCUUGACUUUGGGAUAACUUCAGGAAACUGGGGCUAAUACCGGAUAGGAGCUCCUGCUGCAUGGUGGGGGUUGGAAAGUUUCGGCGGUUGGGGAUGGACUCGCGGCUUAUCAGCUUGUUGGUGGGGUAGUGGCUUACCAAGGCUUUGACGGGUAGCCGGCCUGAGAGGGUGACCGGGCACAAUGGGAAUGGAGUACCGCCCCGAACCCCACCGGAGGGAGCAGUGGGGAAUAUUGCACAAUGGGCGGAAGCCUGAUGCAGCAACGCCGCGUGCGGGAUGACGGCCUUCGGGUUGUAAACCGCUUUCGCCUGUGACGAAGCGUGAGUGACGGUAAUGGGUAAAGAAGCACCGGCUAACUACGUG
rnacentral:rRNA from 1 species